rnacentral:rRNA from 1 species
AGUGAACGCUGGCGGUAGGCCUAACACAUGCAAGUCGAACGGCAGCACAGUAAGAGCUUGCUCUUACGGGUGGCGAGUGGCGGACGGGUGAGGAAUACAUCGGAAUCUACUUUUUCGUGGGGGAUAACGUAGGGAAACUUACGCUAAUACCGCAUUCGACCUACGGGUGGAAGCAGGGGAUCUUCGGACCUUGCGCGAUUGAAUGAGCCGAUGUCGGAUUAGCUAGUUGGCGGGGUAAAGGCCCACCAAGGCGACGAUCCGUAGCUGGUCUGAGAGGAUGAUCAGCCACACUGGAACUGAGACACGGUCCAGACUCCUACGGGAGGCAGCAGUGGGGAAUAUUGGACAAUGGGCGCAAGCCUGAUCCAGCCAUACCGCGUGGGUGAAGAAGGCCUUCGGGUUGUAAAGCCCUUUUGUUGGGAAAGAGAAGCAGCAGGUUAAUACCCCGCUGUUCUGACGGUACCCAAAGAAUAAGCACCGGCUAACUUCGUG